GCAGAAAGAGAGGUCUUCUAUCCGCUUGUUCACUGCCCAUUUGGCCGCAAUAGCUGGAGUUGCGGCAAUUCAAAGGUCCUCGAUGGGCUUCCUGGAAUAUUGGUGUAUUUAUUUGCAUCAGAUGUGCUGGAAUUCAUAGAAAUCUUGGGGUUCAUAUAUCCAGGGUCAAGUCAGUCAACCUAGAUCAAUGGACACCAGAACAGAUACAGUGCAUGCAAGAUAUGGGAAAUACUAAAGCAAGACUACUUUAUGAAGCCAAUCUUCCAGAGAACUUUCGAAGACCACAGACAGAUCAGUAUCCUUUAAAACUUGCUCAUUGUGGAUUUAAAAAGAAUUAAUUCAUUUUCAUAAUUCGUAUCUAUCUUAUCUGUUAGUGUUUAGGAAGGUGUGAACUUUAUCUUGCUAUUGUUCAUUAAAGAUAGAAAUUGAUUUUCUGGGCUGGUGGUAUGGCAUAGUGGGCUGGGCCUCCGCCUGUUAUGCCAGCUCUCCAUGUAGGCACUGGUUUGUGUCCCAGCUGCUCCUCUUCUGAUCUGGCUCUCUGCUGUGGCCUGGGAAAGCAAUGGAGACUGGCCCAAAUGCUUGGGCCCUUCCACCUGCAUGGAGGACCCAGAGGAACCUCCUUGUUCUUGGCUUCAGAUCGGCCUAGCUCCAGCCAUUGCAGCCAUUUGGGGAGUGAGCCAGCAGAUGGAAGACCUUUUUCUGUGUCUCUCCCUCUCUCUCUGUAGCUCUGCCUCUAAAAUUAAAUAAAUUGAUUUUCCUUGAACAACACUUUGUAUAUAAGUAGGCUUUUAAGAAAUUUUAUUUAUUUAUUUAGGAGGCAGAGAGAGUGAGCAAGCUCCCUUCUGCUGGUUCAUUUGCCACAUGACCACAACCAGUUCUGGCCUGUGGAUGAAGCCAAGAACUCAAUCCAGUUCUCUUAUGAGGGUAAUAGGAAUCUAGCCAGUCAGUUGAGCCACCACCAAAGCCUCCCAGGGUUUGCAUCAGCAGUAAGUUGGAGUCAGGAGCUAAAGCCCAGUAUUGAACCCAAGUACUCUGAUACGGGAUGUGGCAUCCCAGCCAGCUACUAACUGCUUGGCUAAACAUUCAGCCCUGUAAUAGGAAUCUGGUAAAUACAUGACACAUAUAUUAUUUUUAUGUACCAAAUUCUAAAAUGUUAUAACUGGCCUUUUUGCUUGAUCUCUGUCUUUUUAAAAAAAAUUUUAAAGAUUUACAUAUUUAUUUGAAAGGCAGAGUUGCAUAGAGAGCGCUCUCAUCCACUGGUCCAUUCCCCAAAUGGCUGCAAUGGCCGGGGCUAGGCCAGGACAGAGCCAGGAGCUUCCUCUUGUUCUCCUACAUGGGUACAAGAUCCCAAGCAUUUGGGCCAUCUGCUGCUGCUUUCCCAGGUACAUUAUCAGGGAGCAGGAUCGGAAGUGGAGCAGCUAAGACACUGCCAGCAUGGUAGGUGGUGGCUUAACCCUCCAUGCUGCAAUGCUGGCCCUGAUCUCUGUCUCUUGAUUGGAGAAUGUCUGUUGUUUAUUGAUUUAUAUUAUUAGAGAUUUGAUUUGUCUUUUUAAGCCGUUUUUUAAACCGUAAGAAUCUUGUGAUUGCUUUAAUUUACUCCCUUUUUGCUCUGAACCCGCAAACCUGAGUUCAUAUAUAAGAUGCCUCAAGCUGAAGAAUUCUCCUCUUCUGCAAGUUUUAUGUAAUUAUAUUUAUGUGAAACAGUUUAGUAUUUAGGCAUUUAAAAGGCAGAUUAUAUAUUUAGUGCAAUUACUAAAUAAUUCAUGUUAAUGUUUUCUGUUAAUGUUCUAUCUCUAGGUUGUACAACUGUUUGCUUUAUUAUAUAUUUGCCUUUAUAAAUGGAUAGACCAUUUUCCCACAGGCAUUAUGCUCAGGAUGUGUCUCACAUUUGUCAAUGAUAAAAUCAUUUGAUUCUAUGGGAUUUCUGAAGGUUUAUAUUGGAGUUUGAGAAAGUAGGUCAUAAAAACUGCACUGCUUUGUCAAUAAGUUUAUCUUCUAAAAAGAUAACAUUAAUGAUUUUGACAAUGAAAUGUAGCUUCCUAAAGAUGAAUUGCAUGUUACUCAUUUGUAUAGUUUAACAGUGUCUGAUUAUUUUUAUAUUUGGACAGAAACCUUUUUUUGUUAUUAUUUUAUAAUUGAAAAGUUAGUAAUUUUAAACUCACCUUUUUCUGUUUCCACCUUCCUCAUCAUUUUCCCCCAAAUUAAGUAACCUGAUAUCCAAGGCAAUUUUUGUUGUAGGAAGAUCCUAGAGUAAGAAUGGGAGGUACAUUUUAGAUGUGGGAAAAAAAAAUGAGCAAAAGUAUGGAGGUAGGAGGAAAUAUGACCUAUUAAGUGUUUUUUUUUUUUUUUUUUUUUUGAUAGGCAGAGUGGACAGUGAGAGAGAGAGACAGAGAGAAAGGUCUUCUUUUUCCCGUUGGUUCACCCUCCAAUGGCUGCCAUGGCUGGCACGCUGCGGCCGGCACACCACGCUGAUCCGAAGGCAGGAGCCAGGUGCUUCUCCUGGUCUCCCAUGGGGUGCAGGGCCUAAGCACUUGAGCCAUCCUUCACUGCCUUCCCGGGCCACAGCAGAGAGCUGGACUAGAAGAGGGGCAACCGGGAAAGAAUCCGGCGCCCUGACCGGGACUAGAACCCGGUGUGCCGGCGCUGCUAGGUGGAGGAUUAGCCUAUUGAGCCACAGCGCCGGCCACCUAUUAAGGUUUUGAUGUGAUAAAAUUAUGGAGGAGGUAUCAUAAGAAAACUAAAAGAUGUUUUGAUCCGGAUUAUAAAGAGUUUUCAAUAUUAUAGGGAACAAUUUGGACUUCAUUUUAUUGGCCCAAGGGGUUGAAGUGUUUGGAAACACAUGAAGGACUUUGAAACAGGAGAAAAAGUAGAAUAUUAGCUUUUCAGCACAGGGAAGAUAUUAAUUGGAGGUAAAAGGAGAUCCUAGAGGUAAAGAGACCAUGCAGAAUGCUAUUUUUAGCUCCAGCGUGAGCAGUAAUGAAGAUCUAAAUUAUUAUAGUGGUGUUGAGAACACAGAGAAAGAAAUUGGUAAAACAGGAGCAGUUGGGCUAUUUUGAGAUUGACUUUGAUUCUGAGCAAGAUACUGAGAUGAACUCAGAGCUUCUAGCUUAUAUGACUGUAAAGCUUAUUUAUUUACUGAGACACUACCAGAUGGAAUUUAAGAUUUAGAAAUGAAAGAUAAUGAACCAUGCUGCAUCACCCUAGGCCGACUGGGUGUUUGCUGGACGUAAAAAUGGAGUUACCUAUUUAGUAGCUAAAAAUAUGAGUCUGGACCCUAAAGAAAGCAGGGAAUGCCGAUUGGGGAGUCACUUAGUCUUUAGGUAGUGUAAAAUUCAGGAGUGAAAUUAUGUUCACUUACAGUAGUGAUCUUUUGUUCUUUCUUAGGUGUUUUUUUUUUUUUUUUUUAAGAAUCUUAGCGAUACUCUUUUCUUUUCCUCUAAAAAAUGAAGAAUAGAGCAUGGUAGAAGGAGAUAGAAUCAGGCCAACAAAUCAAUGUCUUAGGAUGGGGAUGGAGAACAUCUGACCCAUGGGUUGUACAGGGUGUGUAAAAUCAUUUGGUCUGGCCCUGCCAAGGCGACUGCCAGUGGUACUCAAAAUUGAAUAAAUUUAUAGCAGGCUAAUUUUUUAAAAGGAUUAUUUAUUUAUUUGAAUGAUUGAGUUAUAGAGAGUGAGGAAAGAAGAGACACAGUGAGAGGUCUUCCAUGUGCUGGUUCACUGCCCAGGUGUCAGCAACGGCCAGGGCUGGGCCAGGCUGAGCCUAAGCCAGGAGUUUCAUCUGGGUCUCUCAUGUGGGUGGCAGGGGCCCAACUACUUGGGCCAUCUUGUGUUGCUUUCCCAGGCACAUUAGCAGGGAGCUGGAUCAGAAGGGGAGCAGUAGAGACUAAAAUGGGAUACUAGCAUUGCAUGCAGCACUUUAACUCACUAUACCACAAUACUGGGCCCAGUGGGCUAAUCUUUAAGUUGAUAAUUUUGUAUGAACCAUGAAUAAUGUUACAAAUAUCCAAAUGACCCUUGGCAGAAAAAGAGAUUCCCCACCCCAGUCCUAAGUGGUUGUUACCAAUUGCUUGCUUGUUUUAAUUUAUUCUCCAUCUUUUUGCUUACCAACCACAAACCUGAGUAGAUAGAUAAAAAGCUUCAAAUUGCAGAAUGCUUUUAUGAAAGUUUUUGUGUAUGUGGAGGGGUUGGAUUGUUUUUUGUUUUGGUUUUGGCUUCUCUUGGAUAUUGCAGGCUCAUUUAUUUGAGGUUCUAAAACGUUUUGGUUUUACUGUCUAUAUAGUACCUUACAUAAAAAAAGCUGCUUUCAAGUUAUUUGUCACUAUGAUUCCAGGUUGUUUUCACAUAAGUCUGAAAGAUAUUCAGAGAAGGAAGGACAGUAUAUAGCUUCUUUUGUAUAUCUGUGUAUUGAAUUCUUCUCUGGACUAUUCUGUAUAAGUUGGUAGGCAUACCAUUUCUUAAGUAAUUAUCAUCAAUUUUAUGAUAAGCCUUAUAAAAGUGAGGUUGAUACAUUUAAAAAUAUUUGGUUCAUAUCUAAACUUUUCAGGAAA